rnacentral:lncRNA from 1 species
CUGGGUCAUCGUCAUUAUGAGAGAAAAGGCCUGGCAUAUUGUGAGACCCACUACAAUCAGCUGUUUGGUGAUGUAUGUUUCCAUUGCAAUCGUGUGAUUGAAGGAGAUGGUAAGCAGUUCUCUGGCUGUUUUCUUAAGGUUACGUUUUGGUGAAAGUUCUCUCCAAAAGUGGGAGGAAAGUCCUGUGUUGAAUCCCUGACUGCUCCCAUUAAGCCAGAAAGAGGCAUUCUCUCUACGAGAAAUUGAGAUAGAUGCGAUUAGUCAGAGGCCAAAUGGGAAGAAGACCUUACAGCAGGUGUUUUGUGAUGAUGGAAGAGGAAACAGGAGCUGAGGAGAACUGUGGUCUGCUGGAAACCUUUUAGUAAUAAGCAAAGGCCAGGGGUGCUGGGAGAUGCAGAGGACGCUUCCUCCGUCCCUCUGUCGGCUUUAAAAAGGGACACGUACAGCUGUGAGAACGACCACAUAGGCAUCUCCUCAAAUGAAUUUAGGGAUCGUGACACAGAUUUGGAAAAAUACUUUGAUACUGAAC